rnacentral:rRNA from 1 species
UACCAGCACCCCGAGUGGUCGGGACGUUUAUUGGGCCUAAAGCAUCCGUAGUCGGUUCUACAAGUCUUCCGUUAAAUCCAGCUGCUUAACAGAUGGGCUGCGGAAGAUACUAUGGAGCUAGGAGGCGGGAGAGGCAAGCGGUACUCGAUGGGUAGGGGUAAAAUCCGUUGAUCCAUUGAAGACCACCAGUGGCGAAGGCGGCUCACUGGCCCGGUACUGACGCUGAGGUGCGAAAGCGUGGGGAGCAAACAGG